rnacentral:rRNA from 1 species
GACGAACGCUGGCGGCGUGCUUAACACAUGCAAGUCGUACGGUAAGGCCCUUUCGGGGGUACACGAGUGGCGAACGGGUGAGUAACACGUGAGUAACCUGCCCACAACUUUGGGAUAACGCUAGGAAACUGGUGCUAAUACUGGAUAUGUGCUCCUGCUGCAUGGCGGGGGUUGGAAAGCUCCGGCGGUUGUGGAUGGACUCGCGGCCUAUCAGCUUGUUGGUGGGGUAGUGGCCUACCAAGGCGGCGACGGGUAGCCGGCCUGAGAGGGUGACCGGCCACACUGGGUCUGAGAUACGGCCCAGACUCCUACGGGAGGCAGCAGUGCGGAAUAUUGCACAAUGGGCGCAAGCCUGAUGCAGAAGCGCCGCGUGCGGGAUGACGGCCUUCGGGUUGUAAACCGCUUUCAGCAGGGACGAAGCUUUUUGUGACGGUACCUGCAGAAGAAGCACCGGCUAACUACGUG